CAAAGUUGGCCUGAGACGUCCUUCUGCCGCACCAGAAAUCGCCUCCGGAGACCCAAACAACCAAAAUAACACACCACAAGAACCGUCUCAGCUCGUUGGUUCUCAUUCUAAUCACGGAUGUCCCCAGUUCUUCACCCACUUCACGAAUCGGGGAAGACAACAGUGAAAACCUUAGGUCUCAACUCCUCAAUUAAAGGCCAAAGGAUAAGGAAAGGGAUCUAAAACCAUAGGGGUUUGACUCCUCGCAUCAAGAUCCACAUCACAGUAAUGAGAAAAGAGCAAGAAAAGGAUUUUUCACCAACCUUCAAAGCGGAGGAUUGCUUUGGUGCUCGUUAGAGUUGGAGAAGACGAGGCUCAAGAAAAUACUAGAGGAAUGUGAUUAUCCAGUGUAAACUAAUGUGAUAGCUUGAUGCUUGGUAUUUAAUGACUUGCAUAAUGUUAUGGUCAUGACUGCUGCAUCAUUAGACUCGAGUUGCAUGUAGUUUGCAAGUGAAUGACUUUUGCAGGCAACAUAAUGUCAAUGUUUAUUACUGCAGGUGAUUGCUAAUGAUGAUGAUCUGGUCCAAUGUUUGCUUUGCAACUUGGUGUCAUGAUGUAACAUUCGUUGUGGACAACCCCCUCCAUUUUGAACUUAAUGCAUUGAAACACCUUAAUGUUGGUCUGAGCAAGCUUUUGACUUGACUCAAUGUUUUGAUGGUGCAAACUGUUGUGUAUUAUGCAGCUAUUGUUCUAUCUUAUGCAACAGGGUGGCCAUUGCCAUUCUGACUUUGGUUUAGUGUUGGCUUAGGUAAUGCUUGUUUGGUUGCUGCAAUGUUGUUGUAGUGUGAGGUAUACUCAAAUCCAUCUGCAAUCUUGGCUAUGGUUCAUGGCCUCCAUUAUGAUUGUGAGCUUGGUUUGGUGUUGCAGCAUGAUGAACCAAUGUGCAUUGCUUAUUCCUGAUCGAUGUAGUAGAUUUGUAUGCUUAUUCUACUAUAGGUAAGAAUCCUGACUUAUGAUUCAUCAUGCGAUGAAUUCUGGCUUGGUUAUGUCCAUUACUAUGCCUUGUUUUGCACUAGGUAUGCAACCAUUCCUAGCACAUUAUGCCUCAAAGUGCAGCAUCAUGUACUGCCAAGGCUUACAACAGGUGACCAUAGUUCAACAUUGUUUUGGCUUGGUCUGUCAUGAGCCUCAUUCACAUUUUACAGCACGACAUCAUGGUUCUGCAGCAGGAUGACACGUGAGUGUUGCUUGUUCCAUGACAAACUUGCAUUAUUCAUUUUGCUGUAGGUAAAUCCCUUGCAACCUUGGUAUUGGUUUGUUGCCUUGAGUUCAUGCUGUAAGACCCUAAUUUUGACCCUAAGAUCCCUCAUGGCACCAUAUCAUUGCUCAAUGCAUCUGCCUCAAGGAUCAUAGCAUCUUGGCUCCUUUACCCUAGGGUUGGGACUUGUGUGAGUUGGUUUGAGACCACCAAGCAUGCUUGAAUUAUAUAUUAUUGAUUUUCUUAUUUUGUUUACUAACCAAAAGCACAAAAUAUUUCACUAACUUUCUUUUGUUUUGAAGCUUAAGCAGUCAUGUGAUCCAAGGCUCCUAGGAGGCUCCUAUGCGCAUUGAAAUGGCCAGAUGAGGAUGAAAGCAAGCAUGAAAAUGGUUCCCAAAGCUCUCAAUCAUCAUAUAUUCCUCCCAAGCAUCUCAAUUUGUCAAUUUGAUCAAGAUAAACCAAGGGGCUUGAGAAUUGUUUCCCAAGAAAACCCUAAUUCAAUUGUGCAUUGAAUGUGCCUUGCUCAUGAAGCAACCUCAACCUAUGAUCAAAUACAAUCAAGGUAAGUUAUUUCAUUCAUCAUUUUAUGAAUAUAUGAGCCCAUGUGAGUUCCCUCAAUCAUUCAUUCAUUAAGAUUUGAAGUUUGGCUUUGAGAAGUUGAUCAGUCAAUUCGUCUAACUAUUUUGAAAUCCACUGAGACCUAACUUUUGAUGUGUUUGUCAAAUGAAGAUGACCCCAAGAGAAACAAUGUUAUUAAGAACCAUAUGAACAACUUUCAUGUUUAUAAAAAAUCCAUUUGAAACUUGUAAGAUCAGCAUUCAUUUCAAAACAUUAUAGGUCAUUUUGACUGAAACCCUAAUUUUGGG